rnacentral:lncRNA from 1 species
UUUUGAUGCAGCGGUCAAUGGCUUCCUUUCCCAAUCGCAACCCCUUGACGCAGAUCGAUGUCAGCUUUAUCGCCUUAUCCUCGACAUCACAACCACCAGCACCACUGUUCCCACAACCUCAAGCCAUCGUUGCCCCCACCAAGCACAGGGUAGCGGUCUCUUCACGCGGGGCCGCAUCCAUUGCUCUCUCCCUCAUCUCUGGCCAAGACUCGGCUCCAGCAACAACAGAAAAAGAUGAUGAUUCCGGACUCCUUCCAUUGACAAUCAAAGGGGACCGACGGUCCUAGUCCUAGAACUAGCCACACCAUCCUCCAACGAAGCACUCAAAGCGCUUGGUUCGCCACUUUGAUUCGCAGCUGAACCACCAGAGAUCCUAGUCUCUUUCAGGGUGUCUCCUAAUAAAAAUGAGUUUCCAUCUAAACUUGCUAGGCUUUCCUCUUCGUUUUUUCGGUUGUUAAUUUUUGCUCUUGUUAGUCUCUUUUUUUCAUUUUGAAACUCCCUGCUGCAAAAUUGAUUAUGAAUUCUCGUCUGUUUUGAGAGCCUGUUCCGGAGGAGCAUUGUGAUUGAGUACUCUAGGUUGAAGAGAAAAAAUUGAAGUCACUUACCUUACCCGCGAUCCAUGUAACCUCAUUUAUAUUUUCC